UACGUAGGGUGCGAGCGUUGUCCGGAAUUAUUGGGCGUAAGGAGCUUGUAGGCGGUUUGUCGCGUCUGCCGUGAAAAUUCGAGGCUCAACCUCGAACUUGCGGUGGGUACGGGCAGACUAGAGUGUGGUAGGGGAGACUGGAAUUCCUGGUGUAGCGGUGAAAUGCGCAGAUAUCAGGAGGAACACCGGUGGCGAAGGCGGGUCUCUGGGCAGUAACUGACGCUGAGGUGCGAAAGCGUGGGGAGCAAACAGG
rnacentral:rRNA from 1 species